rnacentral:sRNA from 1 species
AUGUCACUUAAAUGGUUGAAGGUGUAC